GCGGGUAUGGUUCAGUGGUAGAACGCGACCUUCCCAAGGUUGAGACACGAGUUCGAUUCUCGUUACCCGCUCCA
rnacentral:tRNA from 1 species